GACAGAGGAGCCAAGCGUUGUCCGGAUUGACUGGGCGUAAAGGGCUCGUAGGCGGCCAACUAAGUCGGAUGUGAAAUCCCCAGGCUUAACCUGGGAACUGCAUCCGAUACUGGAUGGCUUGAAUCCGGGAGAGGGAUGCGGAAUUCCAGGUGUAGCGGUGAAAUGCGUAGAUAUCUGGAGGAACACCGGUGGCGAAGGCGGCAUCCUGGACCGGCAUUGACGCUGAGGAGCGAAAGCCAGGGGAGCAAACGGG
rnacentral:rRNA from 1 species